rnacentral:rRNA from 2 species
CAAGUCGAACGGUGAAGCCAAGCUUGCUUGGUGGAUCAGUGGCGAACGGGUGAGUAACACGUGAGCAACCUGCCCUGGACUCUGGGAUAAGCGCUGGAAACGGCGUCUAAUACUGGAUAUGAGCUCCUUCCGCAUGGUGGGGGUUGGAAAGAUUUUUCGGUCUGGGAUGGGCUCGCGGCCUAUCAGCUUGUUGGUGAGGUAAUGGCUCACCAAGGCGUCGACGGGUAGCCGGCCUGAGAGGGUGACCGGCCACACUGGGACUGAGACACGGCCCAGACUCCUACGGGAGGCAGCAGUGGGGAAUAUUGCACAAUGGGCGGAAGCCUGAUGCAGCAACGCCGCGUGAGGGAUGACGGCCUUCGGGUUGUAAACCUCUUUUAGCAGGGAAGAAGCGAAAGUGACGGUACCUGCAGAAAAAGCGCCGGCUAACUACGUGCCAGCAGCCGCGGUAAUACGUAGGGCGCAAGCGUUAUCCGGAAUUAUUGGGCGUAAAGAGCUCGUAGGCGGUUUGUCGCGUCUGCUGUGAAAUCCCGAGGCUCAACCUCGGGCCUGCAGUGGGUACGGGCAGACUAGAGUGCGGUAGGGGAGAUUGGAAUUCCUGGUGUAGCGGUGGAAUGCGCAGAUAUCAGGAGGAACACCGAUGGCGAAGGCAGAUCUCUGGGCCGUAACUGACGCUGAGGAGCGAAAGGGUGGGGAGCAAACAGGCUUAGAUACCCUGGUAGUCCACCCCGUAAACGUUGGGAACUAGUUGUGGGGACCAUUCCACGGUUUCCGUGACGCAGCUAACGCA